GGGGACUCGUGAGAGACUGCCGGGGUCAACUCGGAGGAAGGUGGGGAUGACGUCAAGUCAUCAUGCCCCUUAUGUCCAGGGCUUCACACAUGCUACAAUGGCCGGUACAAAGGGCUGCGAUGCCGUGAGGUGGAGCGAAUCCUUUCAAAGCCGGUCUCAGUUCGGAUCGGGGUCUGCAACUCGACCCCGUGAAGUCGGAGUCGCUAGUAAUCGCAGAUCAGCAACGCUGCGGUGAAUACGUUCCCGGGCCUUG
rnacentral:rRNA from 1 species